rnacentral:lncRNA from 1 species
UUUCAGAACAUGCCCUGUUGCCUGGCUAACUGCCUUAAACCCCCUACAGGCCUAUUCUAUCUUUCCCUAAAUAAAAAACCCUCGAAACAGAGCCCAAUUCCAAUACACAAAAAUCCGCCUGCCGCCAUGUCCGCCACCGCAGCUGCCAGGUCAGUCCUCCGUUUCGCCGCCGUCAGGCCGGCAGCUGCCCGGCGAUUCCGGCAGCUGCCCGGCGAUUAGCCUCCGAAGCCAGGCCAACCUCCUUCACUUUCCGCACCUCUAGAAGAUCGCCGCCUACUCUUCGUCUUUCCAGGUAGUUCUUCACUUCUUCUCCCCCCAUCUGAAAAGAGUAUCUCUUUGUCAAUUUCAGAUUAUGAGAUGUGAUGGGAUUAUUUCGACUAGGUCGAUGAGCUCGGUGUCAUUGCUUCCGUAUCACAGCGCGACUGCCUCUGCGUUGAUCAACUCGAAGCUCUCAGUCUCCAGCUGCGCUUAUGUGUGGACGCUCGAUGGUAAAAGCUUCACCCAGUUACUUGAUAAUCUUUGUUUUCUGUUUGGUUGACUGAUUGAUUCGAAAAGAUUACCUCUUUGUAGCUCAAUUAUAGCCUAGGUGUCCACAUUGUUCAGAUUUUGGAGCUCUUUUGACUGUGCUUUAGAACCCAGAUUCCUGUUUUCAAUGGCAUCCCAAUGAGGGAAAGAUCGAUUCUUUUUAGGUUGUUUGGAUGAUGGCUUUACAAUUCACUGAUCAUGGAAUGUAUUACUUGAUAAAACAUUUGAAUGUUGCUUCUGAAUUGAAAACUAGGGUAUGGGAUUCAGGGAACUAUAUAAGUUUUGGUUGAUAAGUUUGAUCUGCAGUCUACUGUGAUUUUGACUUGUUUGCUCCGAUUCUGCUGUGCUUGACUGAAUCAUAAACCCACAUCACUAAGUCCAUUGCUUCAUGUUCUUUGUAUCGUAUUGAUAGCAAGUCCACAGUUUUAUGGCUUUUCGUGCUGUGUUGCAGAUGGAUAAUAGGUGAUCGAUCAAGGACGAAGAGAUGUUGUCAUUUCGGCGUACAAGUCUGGGUUGUUUUAACUUUCAAGACAAUUGAAGUCAUUCAGAUUGGAAACAAUUUCGAUGUCCCUCUGUUCAUAGAGAUAGUUUGAUCAUAAAUUCAUACUUAUGGCAACUUGAAGCUUUGCUUGUAUUGAUAAUUGUAGUAAUUCUACACUGACUUGUUAGCUUUCCUCACCAACUUAGAAAACUCGGUUCAAUUUCAUGACUAUACAAUUUGUUUGGUGUGGAUUUCAUUCGCCGCGAAUCGAAUGCAUGCCAAAGAAAGAUCCAAUUACGCCAUUCCGAUGGGGAAUUAUAGGCCAUACUUGGUGCAAAGAAAGUAUCACCAAAAUAAACCAAGCAGUCUACUAUCAACAGUUUUAACACAAAUAUUCAAGGCAAUGGCUUGUCAUGAUAAAGACCAAAGCACUUCUUCACAUACGUCCUUGCAAAAUGGUUACAGCUAGUUAAACUACCAGAAAGAUCGAACCGAUUUGUGGAACUGUGUCAUUACCAUACUCCCCAUAUACUAUAACCCGAUAAGGAAAACCAGAAACUUUGAUCAGGCCUCUCCAAGCUUAUAUAUACUUCUUAACCCAACCCCAGCAGUGAAAUGUUUCUCUAA